rnacentral:rRNA from 1 species
CCUACGGGUGGCUGCAGUGGGGAAUAUUGGACAAUGGGCGCAAGCCUGACCCAGCAAUGCCGCGUGAAUGAAGAAGGCUCUCGGGUUGUAAACUUCUUUUAUCAGGGACGAAGCAAGUGACGGUACCUGAUUAAUACGCCACGGCUACCUACGUGCCAGCAGCCGCGGUAAUACGUAGGUGGCAAGCGUUAUCCGGAUUUACUGGGUGUAAAGGGCGUGUAGGCGGGAAAGCAAGUCAGAUGUGAAAACCAUGGGCUCAACCUGUGGCCUGCAUUUGAAACUGUUUUUCUUGAGUACGGGAGAGGCAGACGGAAUUCCUAGUGUAGCGGUGAAAUGCGUAGAUAUCAGGAGGAACACCAGUGGCGAAGGCGGUCUGCUGGACAGCAACUGACGCUGAGGUGCGAAAGCGUGGGGAGCAAACAGGAUUAGAUACCCUAGUAGUC